rnacentral:rRNA from 1 species
AAAAGUAUGGUUCUGCUAUCACUCUUGGGAUGGACCUGCGGUGCAUUAGCUAGUUGGUAGGGUAACGGCCUACCAAGGCGAUGAUGCAUAGCCCGAGUUGAGAGACUGAUCGGCCACAUUGGGACUGAGACACGGCCCAAACUCCUACGGGAGGGCAGCAGUAGGGAAUCUUCCACAAUGGACGCAAGUCUGAUGGAGCAACGCCGCGUGAGUGAAGAAGGUUUUCGGAUCGUAAAGCUCUGUUGUUGGUGAAGAAGGAUAGAGGGUAGUAACUGGCCUUUAUUUGACGGUAAUCAACAGAAAGUCACGGCUAACUACGUGCCAGCAGCCGCGGUAAU